CCCAGAAUGAUUUUAUAAACAUUUUGCCAGUGGAUCAAUACCUGUAUUGAUCAACCAUUGUGAGAGUGAUCCGUCUAAAACCCAGAGCAGCCUAGAGCUCAGAGAUGGGAGGAGCGAAAGAGAGAGGCUGCAGAGAGGAUGGAGAAAGAGAGAGAGUCUGCAGCCACAGUGAAAGGGAGAAGAGGUACAAGGGAAGAGAAGCGAAUCUGAGGGAGAAGCAGACGCAGAGCUAAAGGUGUGGAGGCAGGUUUCGGACAACGCUGCCAGGCCACUGGGAUUGUGGGAAAACCUGUGGUAAUUACUUUCUCAUUAAGGGAGGGAUGGUGAGGGCGACUAAUGACUACUGCUUUAAGUGUACGGAAAAAAACUGGAGUGUCAAAGAUUGGUUGUUUGCCUUGGUGACAACAUGGGACAGAGAAGGCCCAGCACAUACUGCGCUCAUGAGUUCAGCUGCUACAGUAAAAUUAAAAUUCCUGACAAAAUCAAAGACCACAAGGAAUAGCCUGCAUCCUGGAAUCAUUCAAAGAUGAAAACGGCUGAAAAUAAAGAGAUUAUUGCUGUUUUUAACUGGUUUGGAUAAAGCUAGCUUUGGGAUUUGUUUUUUUUUUUUUACAUUUUGACAAGUCAUUGGAUUGGAUUUAAUUUUUAUUAAAUUUAUUGGAGUUUUACUGAACAGACGACUGACUGGGCCACUCAACAACAGCAAUGAAUGUUUGAUUCAAGGCCCCAAGCUGCGCCGGACUGGAGGAGGAGUUAAAAGGCUUUUGGGAUCAUCCCCCCAAUGCUAAAGGGAAAUCAAGUUUCCACUGAUUGAUUUUAAAUGUGAUUUCCUUGUGCAUAAUUGUGGAUUUGAGGGAAGAUAUAUUCCUCCAAACUGUGGGAGAGGACAUUGAUGCUCAUAAACUCACUUUGCACUGGAGCUCUCAGAGAAGAAAGGCCUACAUUCUACAGUUUGACUCCUCAGUUAACAUGCAUUCGAGUGAAAAGAAAAUAAUGAACAUUCUGUACCAAGGACUCAAAGUACCUACAUACAGUUUUGCUAUAUAAAUUGUAAAACAAAUUAAAAAUUAUUGUGGUGCACAAUGCAAAUCAUGCACCACAGUGUGUGGCAGUACCAUAGACUGUAGUACAUAUCCUUGGCUGUGUCCCAGUCCCACCCUGCAUAAUAAUACAAUAAUAAUGCACUGUGUAUGUUUUAAUAGCUUACUGUUUUGACAGUUAGUGUAUGAUACAAGAUGUUCACCAUCAGACUUCAACUAAACUGUGGAACUGCCAUUUUCACAUUAGGAGAAAAACAACAAUAACCUGAAAUGUUUCCCAAAGAUUUGAAGACCACUUAAAUGAUUUACUUAUUUUUGGUGUUGUUUUGUGUUCUCAGAUGUUCCCAAAGUUGUCUCACAACCUUCCACACAUCAUACAAAAAAUCUGGCAAAUUUAGAAUAUAUCAUGUAUGAAUGUUUGAGCUCUUAUGACUUAUGUAGUGGUACUUCACUUGAGCUAGACUCAUAAGGUGAAUAUUGUGCAGGUACAGUGCAAGUAAUGGUAACCACAGAGACUCAUUUUGUAUUUAAAUGAAAAGGAGGAAGAUAAACUUCCCAGUGUAAGCCUGCUUGCUUCAAAGUCAUUUAAUGUAUACAAUACACAGAUUAUGUGCUCAGUGCAGCAACAAAAAAUGUAUCACUGACUGGUAAACUAAAUUGAGUUUAUCAAUUGCAGAACGCUCUUUUUCAGUAGCAUAGAAAAACAUGAGAAAAUUACAACUAAUGGUCACAGGUGUGACAAUCUGAUCCAGAUUCACGAAACCCUGAUCAGAUGUGGAUUAAUGUUAACAACAAUUUGAACAUCAAGAGACCCAACUAUACGUAAAAUGCAAUGUUAUUAAGCAAACACAAAAUAUUAGAUUUAAUAAAGAGGGGCAAAUCAAAUUGUUAAUCUCUUUGCCUUCGUAUGACUGUAGUCUAGCAGCAUUGGAAUAUCUGCAUAUGAAGGCAGAACCUGCAGGCAAGGGACAAGAUUUGGGUAUUAGAAGUGUUCUGGUUUCCAUUUGUAGACUGUUUGGAGUCCGAGUAGUAUUGACCAAUUAUGUUUGAAUGGGUUUUGCUUGCAUGCAGUUAAACAGUCCAUGUAGAGAGUAAAAGAGGCAGAAUUCUUUGGCCAAAAAGCAAUCCUGGAACCCAUUGGCUAUCGUCUGAUGACCAUUUAGCCUUUUAUCAAUCUCGGAACCCUAGAGACUAGCUUUUUCGAAUGUAUUUGCAUUCAAAUCAUCAGAUGAUAGCCGAUGGGUUCCCAGAUUGCUAAUCGGACUGUAAACAAUGACCGGCUCACGGAAGAGGAAGUCUUGACCUGGAUAUCCGUUCUCCGGAAAUACAUUUCAAGCCCUGAAACAUUGGUCUUUGCCCCCAGAGGCUAAAUCGUCACCUGACAAUAGCCGACAUGUUCUGAGAUUGAGCACUGAUGAAAGAAAACCAGUGAUACAAAUAAUGCUUAUAAAUUGUGCAUUACCUGCAUUACCUACUCUGUGCCAUAAAUCAGUUUAUGCCAUAUAAAACCCAUGGCUCACAUUGUGUAAAAAAAAUUUUGUGUAUUUUUUAAAGUAUAUGUAGUCAAUACAUUAAAAGGCCCAUUAUUUUUGCCUGUUAGGAUAAUAAAACAAGACUGCAUAGUUUUAAACAUUAACACUAACCAUUCCGUGUUAUUACAAAUAUUGGUGCCUUACUACUAUCUUUAUUAGUUUAAUUUCAAGGAGAUAAACACACUAUUCUUAAAGCUUAAGUGUUAUCACUUUACACAAAGACUGAGCUCAUGUGCUAUCAAAGCAGCACUGACACACUGAAUCAUUUUCUUGUUCCCUUUCAUCCCUUUUGUCUGAUUCCUACUCUUAAAAACAAACCCUUGGAUGAGUGCCAAACCAUAAAUUAGGAUCUUCAUUAGACACAUCAAAUCUAAAUUACUUUUCAAUUAACAGGCCAGUCAACCUGAACUAAUCAACCAAUUAGGCUGUGUGUUCACAGAAAAGCUAACAAAAGCACACGAGUCCCCUGGGAAAGCAGUAAAAACACUGCAGAAGAGUGACAGUGCAAAUGAGAAGGUACUGGUUUAGGAGAGAAAGGGAGGAUCAGAAAGUGGCAGAGGAUACAUGAGACGCUCAGAUCACAUCACUAUUCACCCCUUCAUUGUUUGGGAAAUGAAACUCAUAAGUUAUAACAAAUUAUUUAAAACUUAAAGAAAUUGUGAAAGAACAGAUUCUCAAAGAAAGGUAAACAUUUGGGGAAAGAAAAGAAUGUAUAUGAGCUUUGAUCAAUUUGCAUUGUUUAAUGGGUAUACUGUCAAGUUAAUGUUUGUGACCAUUAUUUUUAUGCUAAUGAGUUUUGAUUGAAAGGCAUAUUAUUCUUCUGAUGAUAACUUGUAUUGUGUUAUCAGCUGGCACUGUUGCAAACUAAAUGAACACUGGACACAAAAACCUACUAAAACCCUCCUAACUCCUCCUAAACCUAAACAGUUUGUUUAACUCAAUUUGAUUAAGGGAAAUUGUAUCAAAGCAGGUAAUGUGUUUUUUUUUUCAUGAUUAUCAUGAUAUGGAACAAAAUAUGUGUUUUAUAUCUAUAUAUUGUAUUAUCAUUAUUAUUAUUAUUAUUAUUGUUACUGUACUGUCUGAGUCUCUUUGUGGAGGACAGAGGUUCACAUUUACCAACUCCGAAUGACGACUAGUUGGAAACACCGUCACAUAAUGUCUGAAAACUAAUAUUCAUAAAGUACAAUGAAUUUAUUGAAUUCCCUCUGUCACUCCUCUGCAGUUCAUGGCAGUCAUCUUUGGCGAGGGCUAUGGCAGAGUGAAAGGCUUUGUGAUGCCCUAUUCAGUGUGGUAGGGCUGCUGGGAUGUCUGUGUUGAACAUACCUUUGGGCCACAGGAGAUCUGAUAGGCAGCACAGGCUAUUCAAACGUCUUCUUCACACACACGACAGAAUGUAACCUAAGAGAGAAACCAACACACACAUACCGAAUAAAGCCAGACCGAUCCUGGCUUUUCUUUUAGGUGGUUACUGAUAUUUGGAAGUUUUAAAAUUUCAAUGACAACAUAUUGGUCGACAAACAAUGUUGAUACGGAUCCCUUCGAUGUGUUUUUGUUAUUGUAACCAAGAUACAUACUGAGUGAGGCAUUUCUACCCCUUCCAGCCCUCACAUCUAAAGGUCAGAGAUCUGAUGACGCUCCAGCAAAGGCCAAAGGGGGUUGUAGAGAGGAGAGCACCAUUAUUGUACUAGUAAAUGUCAGAACAA